rnacentral:lncRNA from 1 species
AUUAUUAGGUCUUUCCACCUUUCCGUGGAAAGACCUAUAGGUUUUGUUCUGAUUAUUAUUAUUAUUAGGUCUUUCCACCUUUCCGUGGAAAGACCUAUUGAAUUUGUUCUGAUUAUUAUUUUUUUUUUUUCUUCCGCCUAAUUUUGUUUCUUGCGUAGUAUUGUUGUUUCAUAAGAUGUUGCUUAGAUAUUUGGAAUAUGAUAUCGUAUAGUUUAUAUGCUUUAAAAAUUUACAACGACGUAACAAAAUACUUUACGUUGUAAGAGUUAUCUCCCCAAACACUGUUUUUCUUGUGGCCACUACUCCUUCGCAACCGUAAAAGAUUACGACAAAUUUAUUUUACCAAAUCGCUCGUAAUAUCUUAAGGAUUAGGCAAUUCAUUUGGACCGAAGCUUUCCAGAGACUCCAUAUGAGAGUUAUUUCCCCUUAUGCAUAUGAUAUAAGUGAUUUGCAUUUCUAACUUGUAAACCAUAAGUGAUAGAGACCUAGGGUCUUUUGAUUUAAGGUCCUUGGUCCAAAAAAAUUAAAAUGAGGUCAAGGUCAAAGGUCAAGGUCAUAUUCUAAAUUUUGAUUUUGGCUUAUUUUCAUUUAUUUUCAAAUACCUUAUGACAUAUCAACAAACAAUUUUUCAUAAAUUGUUAGUUGCGACAUGUCCUUACUUGUAUAUUUUGGUUGAAAGGGUGCGCAGACAAUAAAUGGGAGUUUUUGCCCAUCUUACAUUUAGAAUUACGCGUACAGUGGUAUUACUCAUUAACUAAACAUAUUAAAGACCUAGGGUCUUAUGAUUUAAGGUCCUUGGUUUGUGACCUUGAAAUUGAGGUCAAGGUCAUAGGUUAAUAUGACGUUUUAGAUUUUGACCUUUGCUUUAAAUUCAUAUAAAUACAUCAUAAAGCCAUAGGAACUAACAUUUUAAACAGAUUUUUCAUAUUUCAAUAUCAAAAUAGAUCUUUACUAGUGGAAAGACCUUCAAUUGUUCUCUGAACAAUUGGUUUUUAAUUAUUAUUAUUUUUUUUUUCUCCCGCCUAAUUUUUUUCUUGCGUAGUAUUGAUGUUUCAGAAGAUGUCGAUUAGAUAUUUGGAAUAUGAUAUCGUAUAGUUUAUACGCUUUAAAAAUUUACAACCGCGUAACAAAAUACUUUACGUUGUAUGAGUUAUCUCCCCGAACACUGUUUUUCUUGUGGCCACUACUCCUUCGCAACCGUAAAAGAUUACGGCAAAUUUAUUUUACCAAAUUGCUCGUUACAUCUUUAGGAUAAGGAUAUUCAUUUGGACCGAAGCUAUAUGGAGACUCCAUAUGAGAGUUAUUCCCCCUUUUUCAUUUGAUUCAAGUGAUAUGCAUUUCCAACUGGUAAACCAUAAGUGAUAGAGACCUAGGGUCUUCAGAUUAGAGGUCCUUGGUCCAAAAAAAUGAAAAUGAGGUCAAGGUCAAAGGUCAAAGGUCAUAUUCUAAAUUUUGAUUUUGACUUAUUUUCACUUCUUUUCAAAUACCGUAUGACAUAUUGACAAAUAAUU